rnacentral:lncRNA from 10 species
UGGACCCAGGGGUGGGGAUGGGGGUGAGCUGGAGAGGGGAGGACUAGGUGUGGGAAACAGUGAAUAUUGAGUCAGAGAGAAAAAAGAGGCUUCAAGUGUCCUCCCCAGUGAGGAGGCCUCCGCAGAAUGACCCGAUGAAGAGACCUCCUCUCUCUGAAUGCAGGGAGGGCUAGAGAUGCAGAUAUGCAUAAGCGCAUGGUGCUGAGGAUGGAGUGACUGAGCCCUUGACUGCAGCUCCCUUCAGAGACUGCAGUUUACUGGCUGCACACAGUCUGGUGUGGGGAGGACAAUUUUUCCCUGUGAAGCCUGCCAGGUGCUGAGAUGUCUAUGCAGGCAAGUCUGAGGUUAGCCUCCCAGAGUUUCGGGGAAAAGCACACAGGCAUUCCUGAACACUCUGAGAGGUGCAGAAAAGUGGCUGAGCAGACAGACACAAGGUCUGGCAUGGAGGCAGAGGAUCACAGCGGAGCAUGGACCUAACAGCUGGAUGCCGUGUGGUGAUAUCACUAUCAGCAGAAGAUGCAACAAGACCGGGGCCACUGCUCAAGGCCAGAGAAACAGGUUCAUGGAAAACCAGUUUAGCAUCACUAACAAGCCACCUUACGGGUGUAGAUAAAGGACUGGCGCCACAACGUCUAUAUGGACUAAACUUUUCAUUUUCAUCACUUUUUGCUUUUGACACCUCCUCCUGCAUGAGGGACAACACCAUUCAGCUGUUGGGAGACAACUGUCCUCGAGUCUCAUGUGUUCCUGCAUUUGUUGUGAGGAGAGGCUCUAACGAUCUUUGCUUCAGACUAUCUUUCCAAGGAUAUUCGUAUGGUGAACAGCACUGAAGGGUAGAGAUGGUGUCUCCCACCAGAGCAGAGGAGAAAUUUGUCUUCUGGCCAGUGUAAUAUAGAUACCUUCCUAGAGGGAAAAGGGUGGGCCUAUUUGCCUGCACCCCAUUAGAAAAGACUGGAUUUUAUACGCUCUGGGUUCCUUGGCUCUUCAUCAUCCUUGUGGGAUUUGUGGGCAUGGAGAACUGAGAACUGGUGCACUCAUGAAGGUUAUGAAGAUCAUGCUGUCUUGUAUUCCAUAAGUGAUAAAGUUCUUUGUCACCAACCCAGAAGUGUUCUGUCUUUUGCCAGAAUCUAUUAAGCUGAGGCGGGCUA